GGUUUAAAUCCAAUGUUUGCAAAGGGAGGGAGAGAGCAGAAGAGAGAGAGAGCGCGCGAGAGAUGGGAGCAGGCAGGCAGCGUCUCUGAUUUCUUUUCUUGCACACAACUGGUAAGAAUCAUCAGCACCAAUCUGCACAGGGCUCAGAGCAGUCCUCCAAGGCACGCAUUGGCUCCACUCUCCUGAGCGACGGAAGGAGACUUUCCUGCUUGGAAGGCUUGACUCCAAGGGGAGUCGAAGCCGGCCCCUCACUCACCCCCUCACCGGAGCACAGCCCUGCGUGUUGCUAUCUGUAUGCACGGACAUAGUGUCAAUGAAUGAGAAAGGACACAGUGAACUCAGACCUGGCUGAAGAGUGCAGUCAUGGGUUCUGCUGGGGAAGCAGCAUCACAACACAUCACAACAGCUCAUUGCUCUAGAGUCAGACUGCCUGGCCUCCAAUCCUGUAUCCAUUCCCGACAGUCGGUGUGACCUGAAACUCUCCAAGCUUAAUUUCCUUAACAAUUCCCACCCCCCAACCUCAGAGUUGACAUGAAGAUCUGAGACCAUGGACACGAAGCCAUGAGCAUAGUGCCUGGCACACAGUAAUAACUCAACACAGGCCAAGACUUUGUAAGCUGCGUGGCAUAAGCAGCAAUUGAAGGAGUCGUCACUCCCUCUCUCCAAGUUUCUUCAGGUUCAGGUAAUAGAGACUUUUGCCUUCUCAGGAAAAAUAUUAAGAAGCUGCUGUCUGUCCUUUGCUUCCCACUGCUCUUCCCCCACAGGAAUAAGAUUGAUUUCUCUAAUUAGAGAGAUGACAAAGGUCUGACAUGUCUGAGUCCUUGUUUCUCCACUAGGCAGGGUUAAUGUAUUACCAGGCUCUGCUCACACACAUUUAUU
ensembl:lncRNA novel transcript, antisense to OPCML